rnacentral:misc_RNA from 1 species
GAUGAAGAACGCAGCGAAAUGCGAUAAGUAAUGUGAAUUGCAGAAUUCAGUGAAUCAUCGAAUCUUUGAACGCACAUUGCGCCCUCUGGUAUUCCGGGGGGCAUGCCUGUUCGAGCGUCAUUAUAACCACUCAAGCUCUCGCUUGGUAUUGGAGUUCGCGAUCUCGCGGCUCCUAAAAUCAGUGGCGGUGCCUGUCGGCUCUACGCGUAGUAAUACUCCUCGCGAUUGAGCCCGGUAGGUUUACUUGCCAGCAACCCCCAAUUUUUACAGGUUGACCUCGGAUCAGGUAGGGAUACCCGCUGAACUUAAGCAUAUCAAUAAGCGGAGGA